rnacentral:rRNA from 1 species
GUGCCAGCCGCCGCGGUAAUACGUAGGUCACGAGCGUUGUCCGGAUUUAUUGGGCGUAAAGGGAGCGCAGGUGGUCUGUUAAGUCUGAUGUGAAAGCCCACGGCUCAACCGUGGAACUGCAUUGGAAACUGGCAGACUUGAGUGCAGAAGAGGAAAGUGGAAUUCCAUGUGUAGCGGUGAAAUGCGUAGAUAUAUGGAGGAACACCAGUGGCGAAGGCGACUUUCUGGUCUGUAACUGACACUGAGGCUCGAAAGCGUGGGGAGCAAACAGGAUUAGAA